ensembl:lncRNA
CUGAAAGCAGGAAAGCUGCCAGAAGUGGAGAUACAAGGUUUUCACUCAGCGGACAGACUGAGUCCUUUGUUCGACUGACAGCUCGCAUUAAAAUCUCAUUCACUGUUUAAAAAAAAGACAAACAAAUAAAAUCCCAAUUCCAGAGCUCUGAGCGCCCGGUGUUCAGGAAAAACCAGUAAGCAGACCUUAUGUUGGGCUCAGUGGUUUAAGAAUGAACUUUUGUGCUUGAACUUUAUGUUGAAAUUUGUAUGAGGUCAUUACAGCGCCACAUGGAGCUCAUCAGAAGACUGAGACAGAUUACCGAUUAGUGUAUUGAUGAAUCGAAUUUAGUGACAUCAAUAACGACUGCACUGCACUCUUAAAGGUCAACACAAAAGCUCCAGUUGGAGUUACUUUGUCACACUGCCGCACAUCAUGCAAAAAACACAUUUUCUUUUUUAAAAAUCAAAACCUUCAAACAAGCACCAGCACCCCCCUGCACCUCUCUCGUCUCCUUUAAGUUCUUUGCAUCGCUGUAUUUGUAUUUGCACUGUAAUGAUGCCUAUAUACCUUUGAGUAAUGGAUGCAGGAUAUUCCUUUUUAUGGGUCGACGUUUGCUCAUCGAACAGUUAACGCGACCUGCUCCAGUUGCGCCGGCUGAGAUUGACCAGACAAAGGAGACUUGGAACUGUUGGGCUUUCUUCUGACUGAAACUUGGCUCAGAAACAACUUUCUCGACUCAUUUCAAUUUGGUGCUUGACACUCCCAGCCAGGGACAAAGAGAGGAGCUGGGCUGUUCUCUGAUUAACAGCUGUUGAGCAACAGCCAAAUGCCGACCCCUUAACUCUUGCGCCGUUGCAUUUGUUUGACGUUUGGCUCUUAAUGAUGAGCUGAAAGAAAAUAAAGUGUAUUUUGUCCUUUGUCUAACUCCAACCAAGCCUUUAACCUAUAUCAUUUGAAAAAAUGCAGAAGCACUCAGAGCCGCUGAUCUGAGGAUGGCUCAGAGUGAGGACGCCACUUUGACAGGAGCGUUAACCUGGUAUGUUUUUGACAGCAGGAGAAGCCAGAAAAUCCCAUCGCACACUCGGAGAACAAGUCCACACACAGCUGGGAUGAGCUUUGACUGCAGGGGCGAGAGGCUUGAACAUUAAAAGAAGUGACAAGCUGGAUUUGAUGACGUCUUUUCAGGGUUUACUCUAAAGUCUAAAUUCUCACAGUUUAAAUCUGGCCAGUGAGGCCAAAUUACUUAUAGAAUAAGAACUGGAAAGUACAAGUUGCAAUUUUUGCUGUUUAGCUAACAUCACUAAAGAGUGCAUGCUGAAGCUUUUCUUUUAUUUCCUUCUGUUUUGGCUCCAAAGAGCCAAAUUCUACAUAAUUUACUAUUUCGGCUCACACUAACUUUGUUCUCUUUUCCAUCAAGCUUCCCUUUUUAUGCUGUCAUUGAUUUCAUUUGUAUAUUGCAUUGGGUAACACUAAUUUCCAGACAACUGUGCUCAUGAUUUCUGAAAAAGAAGUGAUACAUUUCCAAGAAAGUACUCUGAUGGACGCUGACAUGAAUUCAUCCAUUAUUUCUACAACUGUAAAUUACACAUCAGUGUCAGGGCUGCAGCCAAGGGACCUCAUUCAAGGACUGAACAUGCACACACAGGAAUAAAUGUGUUGCUGAAAGACAUCAAAUAAUUUGGUUUGUUAUUUGUACGAGACGGGGCUGGUCUCGGAGCUCUAGGUUUGUUUUUGUUUUUUCUUUUAAUCUGAUCAAAGCGGUUUAGGUCUUCUCUGAACCCACGUGUGUUCACAUCUAACAUGCUGAGUAGCCACUUUUUAAAUUCUUGUGUAACAUUUCUACGAUCAGACUUGUUUUGUUUUGGUUAUUUAUCACAAUAUUAGCUAGAAUUCAGGAAGACGAAUUUGAUAUGAGAACAGGAUGAUGGGAAAUUUGGUUAUUUGUUUUCCACGCCUUUAGAAGUUUGAUUUUUAUCAGGUUUUAUUGUGCUGAUUUGUUUUAUCUGGACAUGCUGUAAAUCACUUUGUGAUCUUUAUAAAUAAAGCUUAUUAUUGUAUUCUUCCAGAACCUGUUGGACCUGUAAACGUUUUAAAGACAGCACGAUGGCACGCGUCAUCUCAGCAUCGGGUUCAGGUCAACAGUUCACAGCAAGUCUUGUCACCUGUCUGACACGAUUACCCGCCGCUGCGAACAUGCCUGCUGAGCUGCACGGUCACACUGCAGCUCUAACCCCCUUCCCUUAAUCUCAGUGCUGUUUGACACGUAUCACACCCCGGAGGGGCCGAGGAGCCUUUCUCCACGUGUUGCAGAUCAGCUUUUCCACUCACACCGUGACCGCCGGUUUCAACUGGAUGUCCUGCAACCUGCAAGAUUAAAGACAGGAGAGGCACUGCAGGAACUUGACCGACAGAUAAGAGGAUGUCGGGUCACCUUGGUGAAGCUGCAGUUUGUUCCUCCUAUCUGUUUAGUUCUAUUUACUUUGUGUUGUGUAAGGCACCAUCAACAGUUAAAAUUGUCACAAGAAGCUUUGCAAAAACUGGAGCCUGGACAUGCUAGGGCGAGCACAAACUCUUGGGUAGGACCCAGCUCCUAAUUAGGGGCAGUGCUGGAACCAAUCCGAUGGUCUGCUGAUGGACGCUUUUUUAUGGGCUUCCAGUAACAUUUUAAAGCUAUCUAUUAAAAGACUUUAUUUUCCAGGUGCUGGUCACUGUUUAUAAAUGUAAAUUAAAAGCUAAAUUGAUGUCAGAACUGAAACCCAAAGAGUGAUAUGUACUGUACUUUACCAAAGGAAAACACCAAACAAACAAAAAAACUUGACGAUCUUUGAAAAAUCUCACGGGAUGUUUGACAGUGAUCAGUUAAGUCAGACUAAACUUCAGUUUGGAGGAUAACACGUUCUUGCAGGGGUCGAGCCACUACUUAAACUGAUCGCACUACCUCACUGCAGCUUUAAAGGAUCAGUCUGGUGUCUUUCUGGCCACGAAGCCUCAUGUUCAGGCUCAAAACAACAGUGUGGUGGUAUAUCUACCACCACACUGCAACAGAGCUCUACUAGAGAAGACGAUCUACUGAAUUAGAAAUGUAAUCUCUAAAGCACUGACAGCUGCCCAGACACCACAGUGACUUAUUGCUGAUGAAUAUCC